rnacentral:lncRNA from 1 species
UAUUUAUUAUUUUUUUUAAGAUUUUAUUUAUUUAUUCAGAGAGAGACACAGAGAGAGAAAACACAGGCAGAGGGAGAAGCAGGCACCAUGCAGAGAGCCUGAUGUGGGACUCGAUCCAGGGUCUCCAGGAUCACGCCCUAGGCUGCAGGCGGCGCUAAACUGCUGGGCCACCAGGACUGCCCCACAGAGCAAUUUUUAAUGAGUGGUCAGGUGCCAAGAAAAAAUUCUAUGGUGAAAAAAAAUAAUGAGAUCCCAUGGUUUCAGCACAGUUAGGCAGAUUUCUUUGCUUCUGAACUUCAGAACCUUUACUGUCUAGUGGAGGUGAAGAGGUAAGGUGAGAUGAGGUAAGGUUUGUAGUAUUUCCCAAUUUUCCAUGGAAUACUGGUCAAUGGUAUUGGAAGCGAUAGUCUCUCAGGGUACAGUUUAGAAAGUACUAAAGCAGUAUUAUAUGGUGUCUUACAGAAAGUAUUCACUACAGGGGCGCCUGGGUGGCCCAUUCGGUUAAGAGCCUGACUCUUGAUUUCUGCUCAGGUCAUGAUCUCAUGGUUGUGGGACUGAGCCCAGCAUACGGCUCCGUGCUCAGCGGAGAGUCUGCUUGAGAUACUCUCUCUCCCUCUCCCUCUGCCCCUCCCCCCGCUUGUGUGCUUUCUCUCUCUCAAAAUAAAUAAAUCUUUUUAAAAAAGUAUUCACUACAGUAACUUUCAAUAUAUUUCCUCAAGAUCAUGCAUUAUAAUUUAUUUCUAAUAAAAAUAUUUUAAAUGUAUCAUUUAAGAGAAAGAUUAGGAAGUUGACUAAUGCUUUGGUGAUGUGAUUUAAAAAAUUUCUGGUGGCACCUGGAUAGCUCAGUGGUUGAGCAUCUGGCUUUGGCUCAAGUCGUGAUACCCGGGGGUCCUGGAAUCGAGUCCUGCCUUAGGCUCCCCACAGGGAGCCUGCUUCUCCUUCUGCCUAUGUCUCUGUCUGUCUCUCUGUGUCUCUCAUGAAAAAAAUAAAUAAAAUCUUUAAAAAAAAUUUCUGAGCACGAUUACUUUUUAUUUUGGCCAAUAAUUUCUAAGUUAAUUUUUCUUCCUUUAUUAGAUCUUUGGAAUAUGUAUUUAUUUUUGGUAUCCUAAAAUUUUGUGAACAUGAUAGUCUAGUCAUUGGGAAUGGCUAAAGGAAAUGCUGUACCAUCUGAGGAUUUUUAAUAUUUGUAGGAUUUUACUGUUAUGCUCCUUAUUCAAUAUUUAUAUGUUGUGCUACUCCAUAAACUAUUCUAAUCAUCAAUUCUGUAGCAAUAGAAAAAGAAAAUCUACAUUAACUCCUGAUCGGUGACUACUUAAAAAUAUUGAAUAUAAAGUUAGAGUAACAACAAUUCAGAACUAGCACCUGUUUUGCUAAAGUCUAUGAUAGAAGUUGGUAAUUUAUUACAAGAUCAGGGCGCCAGGAUGGCUCAGUUACUUAAGCGUCUGCCUUUGACUCAGGUCAUGAUCUUAGGGUCCCGGGAUUAGGGCACAUCAGUCUCCCUGCUCAGCAGGGAACCCGCUUCUCCCUCUCCCUCGGCCCCUCCCCCUGCUUGUGCUCUCUCUCUCACUCUCUAAUAAAUGAAUAAAAUCUUAAAAAAAAAUUUAUUACAGGACACCUGGGUGGCUCAGUGGUUGAGCAUCUGCCUUCAGCUCAGGUCAUGAUCCUGGGUUCUGGGAUCGAGUCCCACAUCAGGCAACCUGCAGGGAGCCUGCUUCUCCCUCUGCCUGUGUCUCUGCCUCCCCUCUGUGUCUCUCAUGAAGAAAUAAAUAAGAUCUUAAAAUUUUAUUUUAAGAUAAAUUUUAAAUAAAUUUUAAAAAUUUAUUACAAGACUGUUUCUUCCCAAAGAGAUACUUUCAUGUGAACCUUAUUGUAUGUGUAGUCACACACACACAUGCACACGCACACACGCACAUACACAUUUCAGUCUCCUAGGCAAAUAUGUGUUUAAUUUCGUUAACUUUUUUUUAGUGGGAAGUUAUGCUUCCUCCUAUAGAAUGUUUAUAAAUUGCUGCUAAGAUUACAACCACAAAAGCUAGAGAAUUACUAAGGCUAACACAGAGUCUGGCACACCAUUGUUCUUAUUUGAGAUGUUUUUGCUGACAAAACCCCCAAAUACAGGAUUGAUAGUGCUGAAGCCCUAUUUCCUCUGUUUAAAAGUUCUAAAAAUUAUUCCACCCAGUCAAACCUAAAAUAAAUAUUCAUAAGUCCUUAUAAUCAGAAAUAUUCAUAAAAUUGAAAGACCUUAAAAUGUGUGUCUCCAGCAUAUGUUUCCUUGGCAUCUGUCCGUAGUGUCUGACCACGUGUAGCUAAGAGAAAAAAAAAUCUUAAGACUCUUUGACAACUGUUCUGC